rnacentral:rRNA from 1 species
CACGUAGGGCGCAAGUGUUGUCCGGAAUUAUUGGGCGUAAAGAGCUCGUAGGCGGUCUGUUGCGUCCGCUGUGAAAACUCGGGGCUUAACCCCGAGCCUGCAGUGGAUACGGGCAGACUAGAGGUAGGUAGGGGAGAAUGGAAUUCAUGGUGUAGCAGUGAAAUGCGUAGAGAUCACGAGGAAGACCAGUGGCGAAGGCGGGUCUCUGGACAGUUCCUGACACUGAGACACGAAGGCCAGGGGAGCAAACGGG